rnacentral:rRNA from 1 species
AACGCGAAGAACCUUACCAGGGCUUGACAUGUCGCGAACCCUCUUGAAAGGGAGGGGUGCCUACGGGAGCGCGAACACAGGUGCUGCAUGGCUGUCGUCAGCUCGUGUCGUGAGAUGUUGGGUUAAGUCCCGCAACGAGCGCAACCCUUGUCCCUAGUUGCCAGCAUUAAGUUGGGCACUCUAGGGAGACUGCCGGUGACAAACCGGAGGAAGGUGGGGAUGACGUCAAGUCAUCAUGGCCUUUAUGUCCAGGGCUACACACGUGCUACAAUGGGCGGCACAAAGGGUUGCGAAGCCGCGAGGCAGAGCUAAUCCCAAAAAUCCGUCCUCAGUCCGGAUUGCAGUCUGCAACUCGACUGCAUGAAGUUGGAAUCGCUAGUAAUCCCAGAUCAGCAUGCUGGGGUGAAUACGUUCCCGGGCCUUGUACACACCG